AGCUUCCAACCCCGCGCGGGCACAUGCGCACACGUGCCUCUCGGACGUGCGAGCCCACACGCAGAUGCGUGCGUAUCAGCGCCCCCAACCUGCGCCGAACCCGCCUUGCCUGCGCCAAAGAUCGUGCGCACCGCCCUCUCCCGAGAGUGGGCCAGCUCUAGGGGCUCCGCGGAGCUCUUUGGAGGCGCUAUUCUGAAUCCCUCGGCAAGUCGCCAUGACUCAGCAUCCCAAUGGGCGCAGCUGUCGGGGCAGCCCGAAAAAAUCCCUCCGCGUGGAUAGCCCCGCCUUCCCGUGGGCUCCUUCAACUCAGCCGCAGAACUAGCGCUCCACCCACCUUUCCCUCCCCCGGACUUCGUCCUGCAUACACAUGCCGGUGCUCCCAUGUUUCCUGCUCCUGCCUGACUCCUGUCCAGCUACUCCGAUUUAAGGCCUGACAUAUAUAAAUGCCCGUGCCUCAGUUUCCCCAUCUGUAGAACAGGGCUCUUAUUUGGAGCUGUGCUAGUUUCACAAAUACUCAAGGGCAGCCAACUGGUUUUUCAAGGCUGCACUAGGCUCUGAAAUUAAAUCCUUCUGCAGAGGUAGGACUGUCCCUGACUUCCUAAGUUGCCUCCGCUGUCAAAUCCUCUGUCCCGGACCAGUCUGUCUUGCUGAGGGCCUUGAAGAUGCCCAGGGCCGAGCAGGAUCACUUGAACUUUCUGAGCCAGAUUUUCUUUUUGUUGUGGUUUAGUCAAACGCUCCAAGCUUCACUGUCGCCAGGAUCCUCAGCUGGAACCUUCUCUUCCGGUACUCCAGUCAUGAAUACCCAAUGCAACACCUACACUUCAGAUGUCUAAUAAGAUCCCUUCGAUGGCUUCCUGUCGCUCUCAGAAAACCAAAGUUUUCACAAGGUCUUGUAAGUUCCGUGGUCUUCUUGCUUUCCUUCCCUCUCUGAACUCAACUUCUUUUUCUUUCAUUCACACCACGCCAGCCACAAGUACCUCCUUCCGCUUCUGAAACACCUAAGCGUGCUCGCUGGGGAAUUUUCCAGUUGUUCUUCCCUUUGCCUGAGCACUUUCCCCCCAGACAUCUAAAGUGGCUGGCUUCCUCACCUUCUUCAGGCUUUUUUUUGCUCAAAAAGUCACCUCAUUAGUCAUUAACCUUGGCCAUUCUAUUCAAAAUUGCAACCCCAAUUUCCAGCACCCUUUCCAGCUUUCCUUUUCAAAGUAGCACUUACCAGCCUAUGACCCGCCAUAUAUGUAUUUAUUACUUAUGUAUCUACAACCCCUGGAACACUACCUGGGACGUAGUGGGAAGUGGGAACACUACCUGGGAAGGUAUUGAAUGAAUGGACGAAGGAAGCAGGCGGGGGAAUGGGGAGCUCGGCCUCUUUACCCCAGUCACUUCCAAGCAUAGGCUGGCAGACCAAGGGACUGCCUUGUUGCAGGGAGAGGCAAGCUGAGGCCCAGUGCAGCGGUGACUGCCAAGGUCGCCCCGAGGGCGCUGACAGCCGGGGAGCGGAGCGGGGUGGGGCGGGGAGCGGGGGU